rnacentral:rRNA from 1 species
GAUGAACGCUGGCGGCGUGCCUAAUACAUGCAAGUCGAGCGAACAGAUGAGGAGCUUGCUCCUCUGACGUUAGCGGCGGACGGGUGAGUAACACGUGGAUAACCUACCUAUAAGACUGGGAUAACUUCGGGAAACCGGAGCUAAUACCGGAUAAUAUAUUGAACUGCAUGGUUCAAUAGUGAAAGACGGUUUUGCUGUCACUUCUCGAUGGAUCCGCGCGGCAUUAGCUAGUUGGUAAGGUAACGGCUUACCAAGGCAACGAUGCGUAGCCGACCCGGGAGGGGGAACGGCGACACUGGAGCUGAGACACGGUCCAGACUCCUACGGGAGGCAGCAGUAGGGAAGCGUCCGCAAUGGGCGAAAGCCUGACGGAGCAACGCCGCGUGGAUGAUGAAGGUCUUCGUAUCGGAAAACUCUGUUAUUAGGGAAGAACAAAUGUGUAAGUAACUAUGCACGUCUUGACGGUACCUAAUCAGAAAGCCACGGCUAACUACGUG